rnacentral:rRNA from 1 species
GACGAACGCUGGCGGCGUGCCUAAUACAUGCAAGUUGAGCGCUGAAGGUUGGUACUUGUACCAACUGGAUGAGCAGCGAACGGGUGAGUAACGCGUGGGGAAUCUGCCUUUGAGCGGGGGACAACAUUUGGAAACGAAUGCUAAUACCGCAUAAAAACUUUAAACACAAGUUUUAAGUUUGAAAGAUGCAAUCGCAUCACUCAAAGAUGAUCCCGCGUUGUAUUAGCUAGUUGGUGAGGUAAAGGCUCACCAAGGCGAUGAUACAUAGCCGACCUGAGAGGGUGAUCGGCCACGUUGGGACUGAGACACGGCCCAAACUCCUACGGGAGGCAGCAGUAGGGAAUCUUCGGCAAUGGACGAAAGUCUGACCGAGCAACGCCGCGUGAGUGAAGAAGGUUUUCGGAUCGUAAAACUCUGUUGGUAGAGAAGAACGUUGGUGAGAGUGGAAAGCUCAUCAAGUGACGGUAACUACCCAGAAAGGGACGGCUAACUACGUG